CCUACGGGUGGCAGCAGUGGGGAAUUUUGCACAAUGGACGCAAGUCUGAUGCAGCGACGCCGCGUGAGGGAUGUAGGCCUUCGGGUUGUGAACCUCUUUCGCUCAUGGUCAAGCCGCAGCUUUGGGUUGUGGUGAGGGUAGUGGGUAAAGAAGCGCCGGCUAACUACGUGCCAGCAGCCGCGGUAAUACGUAGGGCGCGAGCGUUGUCCGGAAUUAUUGGGCGUAAAGGGCUUGUAGGCGGUUGGUCGCGUCUGCCGUGAAAUCCUCUGGCUUAACUGGGGGCGUGCGGUGGGUACGGGCUGGCUUGAGUGCGGUAGGGGAGACUGGAAUUCCUGGUGUAGCGGUGGAAUGCGCAGAUAUCAGGAGGAACACCGGUGGCGAAGGCGGGUCUCUGGGCCGUUACUGACGCUGAGGAGCGAAAGCGUGGGGAGCGAACAGGAUUAGAUACCCGAGUAGUC
rnacentral:rRNA from 1 species